rnacentral:rRNA from 1 species
GAUGAACGCUGGCGGCGUGCCUAAUACAUGCAAGUCGAGCGAAUGGAUUGAGAGCUUGCUCUUAUGAAGUUAGCGGCGGACGGGUGAGUAACACGUGGGUAACCUACCCAUAAGACUGGGAUAACUCCGGGAAACCGGGGCUAAUACCGGAUAACAUUUUGAACCGCAUGGUUCGAAAUUGAAAGGCGGCUUCGGCUGUCACUUAUGGAUCGACCCGCGUCGCAUUGGCUAGUUGGUGAGGUAACGGCUCACCAAGGCAACGAUGCGUAGCCGACCUGAGAGGGUGAUCGGCCACACUGGGACUGAGACACGGCCCAGACUCCUACGGGAGGCAGCAGUAGGGAAUCUUCCGCAAUGGACGAAAGUCUGACGGAGCAACGCCGCGUGAGUGAUGAAGGCUUUCGGGUCGUAAAACUCUGUUGUUAGGGAAGAACAAGUGCUAGUUGAAUAAGCUGGCACCUUGACGGUACCUAACCAGAAAGCCACGGCUAACUACGUGCCAGCCGCCGCAGUAA